rnacentral:rRNA from 1 species
UACAGAGGGGGCAAGCGUUGUUCGGAAUUACUGGGCGUAAAGGGCGCGUAGGCGGCUUGACAAGUCACUUGUGAAAUCUCCGGGCUUAACUCGGAACGGCCAAGUGAAACUGUCAUGCUAGAGUGCAGAAGGGGCAAUCGGAAUUCUUGGUGUAGCGGUGAAAUGCGUAGAUAUCAAGAGGAACACCUGAGGUGAAGACGGGUUGCUGGGCUGACACUGACGCUGAGGCGCGAGAGCCAGGGGAGCAAACGGG